CCUACGGGAGGCAGCAGUGGGGAAUAUUGCGCAAUGGACGAAAGCCUGACGCAGCGACGCCGCGUGAGGGAUGAAGGUUUUCGGAUCGUAAACCUCUGUCAGGAGGGAAGAAAGCGCAUGGCGCCAAUCAGCCAUGCGUUGACGGUACCUCCAAAGGAAGCGCCGGCUAACUCCGUGCCAGCAGCCGCGGUAAUACGGAGGGCGCGAGCGUUAAUCGGAAUUACUGGGCGUAAAGCGCGCGUAGGCUGUUGUGUAAGUUGGGGGUGAAAGCCCACGGCUCAACCGUGGAACGGCCUUUGAACCUGCGCGACUUGAGUCAGGGAGAGGGUGGCGGAAUUCCAGGUGUAGGGGUGAAAUCCGUAGAUAUCUGGAGGAACAUCAGUGGCGAAGGCGGCCACCUGGACCGGUAUUGACGCUGAGGCGCGAAAGCGUGGGGAGCAAACAGGAUUAGAUACCCGUGUAGUC
rnacentral:rRNA from 1 species